GGAGAAAAGCAGGGGAUCGNAAGACCUUGCGCUAAAGGAGCGGCCGAUGUCUGAUUAGCUAGUUGGUGGGGUAAAGGCUUACCAAGGCAACGAUCAGUAGUUGGUCUGAGAGGACGGCCAACCACACUGGGACUGAGACACGGCCCAGACUCCUACGGGAGGCAGCAGUGGGGAAUUUUGGACAAUGGGCGAAAGCCUGAUCCAGCCAUGCCGCGUGAGUGAAGAAGGCCUUCGGGUUGUAAAGCUCUUUUAGUCGGAAAGAAAGAGUUGCAAUGAAUAAUUGUGAUUUAUGACGGUACCGACAGAAAAAGCACCGGCUAACUACGUGCCAGCCAGCCGCGGUAAUACGUAGGGUGCGAGCGUUAAUCGGAAUUACUGGGCGUAAAGGGUGCGCAGGCGGUUUUGCAAGUCAGAUGUGAAAGCCCCGGGCUUAACCUGGGAAUUGCGUUUGAAACUAC
rnacentral:rRNA from 1 species